rnacentral:rRNA from 1 species
GACGAACGCUGGCGGCGUGCCUAGUACAUGCAAGUUGAGCGCUGAAGGUUGGUACUUGUACCAACUGGAUGAGCAGCGAACGGGUGAGUAACGCGUGGGGAAUCUGCCUUUGAGCGGGGGACAACAUUUGGAAACGAAUGCUAAUACCGCAUAAAAACUUUAAACACAAGUUUUAAGUUUGAAAGAUGCAAUUGCAUCACUCAAAGAUGAUCCCGCGUUGUAUUAGCUAGCUGGUGAGGUAAAGGCUCACCAAGGCGAUGAUACAUAGCCGACCUGAGAGGGUGAUCGGCCACAUUGGGAAUGAGACACGGCCCAAACUCCUACGGGAGGCAGCAGUAGGGAAUCUUCGGAAAUGGACGAAAGUCUGACCGAGCAACGCCGCGUGAGGGAAGAAGGUUUUCGGAUCGUAAAACUCUGUUGGUAGAGAAGAACGUUGGUGAGAGUGGAAAGCUCAUCAAGUGACGGUAACUACCCAGAAAGGGACGGCUAACUACGUG